AUCUUCUCUUGAUUAAUCUCAUUAUUCUUCUUUGAUUCCUCAUCUUCUUCUUCGAUUCAUCAUUUUCUUCUUCGAUUACACCAACAUCAUCUUUUUCUUCUUCUAUACCGGAAUCUUCGCCCAUGAGAUCUCGCCGCCGGUGUCUCCGAUCAACGACUCCACUCCUCGAUUCAUCACUACGUCACUUUUUUCUCUCCCACCCCAAAUUUUUUUUUUUUUUUCUUUUUGGGUCAAGAAACCAAUUUUGUGGAAGCCCAAAUAGAAAAUAGCUUUUAGUCCAACAAUUAUGAACCGAAAAAACCGAAAAGCAAAAACCGAAAUAACCGUGAAAUAACCGAACCAAACCGAAAUUGUUAGUCGGUUAGUUCGGUACAGAAUUCAUUUUCCGAUUAAACCGGAAAACCGACUAACCGAAACCGAAUAAACCGAUCGGUUUAAAUUCGCAGGCCUAUCUCUCAUAUUUAGAAAACCCCAAAUUCUCAUUUUCGAAAAAUGUCUGCGGAAGUUGAGAACCGGUGCUUUUGCGGCGGCGUUGCUUGGGUCACCGGCGAUGAUGAUCCAGGAAGGGCGUUCUCUGAGUUCGGCUAGGUUAAUCGAUUAUCUAAGAUCAUUAACGAACGCGAGACUGGGAAAUUUUAAGGGACUAGGAUUCGUGAUUUUCAAAGAUGAGAAAUCAGUGAGGGAUGUUAAUGAAUAGAUGGAUGGGAAAAUGCUCGAUGGCCUUAGUAGCAUCACCGUGAACGAUGAAGCGGUGGUGUAUACGUUGGUUGAUACGAAAGGCAUACAACGGAGGCUAUUCAUUUGGAUGCGGCGGUGGUGGUGGACGCUGAGAGGAAGGUUGUUAUGGAGGCGGUGACGGAGGUCACAGAGGGUUUGAGUGAGACCCUGACACAAGGUUUACUUGCAACAUUCUUCUAAACUGCCUCAUGGAAUCUCUGGCACAAGGUUUGAAUACCGUGUUUUUCCUUCAAAGUUCAACAGUUUGAUGCGACGUCAUAGUUUCUAUUCCAAAUCAGAUAAGGUAUAAAUAUUUUAACUCUGCUUGGAUUAAUAUAAAGUCAGACCAACCGACCUAGACAAAGGUAUUCUAGAUAUGGAACUCGUUUGAUAUAGAUAUUCUGCCUUUUGUUCCUCUGAAUCACUCAGUUGAUUUCUAUCAUUAAUUUUGGUAACUAGACAGAUAAUUUUGUCAUUUUUUUGUUCCAGAACAGAAAAUCAUCCAACGAUUGUGACCAUAUUCCUGCUUUUGUUCCAGAAGAAGAUUAAAUAAACUCCAUGGUUCUCUACAAAAAUUGGCCCAAGUAUUUUCAUAAGUUCAAAGGAGUGUGAGAAUACCUUGAGAUACCAUGUUUGAGGAGCCUCAUCACAAAUUCAUGAAAGACAAAGCUAUCUACAAGGUUUAAAAGACACCAAUUUAAAGUUUGAGGAGGACAUGGUGAGGUCUAUAUGCGAUAUGAGAAACUAAGUAAGCCAACAAACCCCUUAUGAGACCACUGUUAAUGAGAUGGCACACGUACGCACUUCCCCUUGUAAAAUAACAUGUAGGGAAAAGGAAAACACAAUGAUAUCCAAACAAGAGAGCUUCUGUACACAACAUCUUGCUCAAUUGGAAUAACGCUGAAGAAAAAAGAAGCGGAAUGCCAAAAAUUUCAGCAUAUUGAGGAAAACUCUUGGCUAUUUUCUGGAUGAGUGAAAGAUUAACUUCGCUUCAUUUGACUCUAAAGACCAGUGGCUCAGUUUACAGAGCAUUAUAUGGCUCAAUUGUGGUUGUUAGCAUUGCUCACAUUAUAGGAAGAAGAAAGGAGCUGAUUUUGGCUGCAGUCUUGUUUUGUUAGAGCCCUUGUGACUGCACUAGCACCAAUCUAUUCCUUCUGAUAAUUGGACAUGUUACUUAUGGGGUGGUUAAACUGAUUUUGGAAGGUCCAGUUAUCUCCAAGAGAAGAAUAUGGGUUCUGCCUCCUGGCAUCUAUUUUCCUUGGAACAAAUUUCAGUUUUCAAGGUAGUGGGGAUCAAUACAACAUUUAGCAGCAGAGAACGAUGUGGUUUUAGUAUGGGGAACAUGAAUGCAUCAAGGGAAUUAGUACAAGAGAAGAGAAUUUUCAUUAAGUUCAUGAUCGGAACAUAUGCAGUUUCAGGUUGCACAUGGACUUGAACAUAUUAAUGUCUUUUGCUUUCAGGAAAUAAGCUUGCAAAAAUAGAACAAGAGAAGAGAGAUGUCAUCAAAUUAGGUACUACUGCAAAUAUGAAGCUGCCAAGUUUGAGGAGCUUCAUCUACAAUGUUUAAAAGACACUAUUUCCAAGUUUGAGGAGAACAAGGAGAGGCUCUAUAUGCGAUAUGAGCAACUAUAUAAGCCAAUAAACCCCUAAUGUGACCAGUUAUUUGACUCAAUUGUGGUUGUUAGUAUUACUCACACUGUUUCAGUGUGAAAGAAAUUAAAGUUUGUGAUAAAAUUUUGGAAGGAAGAAGAAAGGAGCCCUUGCCCUUGUGACUUCACUAGCACCAUUCUAUUCCGUUUGAUAAUUGGAAAUGUUACUUACGUGGUUAAGCUGGAAAGUAAGACUAAUCAUGCUUUUUAAGUGUUUGCCAUCAAAAUUCCCUUCAAAAUACCAUUUUUCACACAAUUGUUUUUUCCUUAACUGCAAAAGUGAGAAUUUUUGUUUUGUUUUGUUUGACUGUGAAAUAUGAUUUUGAAAGGUCCAGUUAUCCCCAUUUCUUUCACCCUCGCACUGUGAAAGACAAGGUCUCCAAGAGAAGAAAUGGGCCCUGCUUCCUUCCAUCUAUUUUCCUUGGGACAAUUUUCAACUCCAGUUUUCAAGGUAUUGGGGAUCAAUACAACAUUUAGCAGCAGAGAAGGACGUGGUUUUAGUAUGAGGAACAUGAAUGCAUCAAGGGAAGAUGCUUGAAAAUUAGUACAAGAGAAGAGAAUUUUCAUUAAGUUCAUGAUCGGAACAUAUGCAGUUUCAGUCUUGUAGGUUGCACAUGGACUUGAACAUGUUAAUGUCCUUUGCUUUCAGGGAAUAAUAAGCUUGCAAAAAUAUAACAAGAGAAGAGAGUUGUCAUCAAAUAAGUGCCAAAGCAAGAAUCGUUUGAAGAACUUGCAUCUCUAAAUUAUACGAUCAACAAGCUGGCCAUGAGUCGCGCUAAGCCUUUGCAUCCCACUUACAUGUAGUUACAGAGAGCUGCCAAGAACAGGAGCGAUUCAAAAGAACUGUAAGUUAUCUUCUAGUUUUAUAAGUUUAAUUAUUUUCCCAGGUAUGUCUUCAAUCCUUUUUUCGGUUUAGUAUGUCGAUUUAUCUCUUAUAACUUGAAGUUAUUGCCUCUUCUGUUCUUAUAUAUUAUCAUAAUUCAUAACUAAUAGACUUUUCAAAUAUCUAUAGUGAGUGAGCAGGUACGUACCAGAAAAAUCAGAGUUUACACUACAUACGGAAACGAAGAGAAUAUAUAUAUGGUUCCUUGAAUAGCACGAUCUAGGUUGAUUUCUUGAAUCUCCCAACACAUUGUAUACAUGUAUGCUUAGAUUCUUACAUUCAUGCAUAUUUGCUUCCUUGAUUCAUUGCUUGAUUCUUUACUUACAUCAUUAACUUGUUCACUUGCUAUCUUUUUUGUUUCUUUUGCUUAACUUGCUUACAUGCAUUUACAUGUGUACGUUUGGAGGACGGAUGGACCAAUGAGUCAAGAGCUUGAUUCGGACACCGUGAAUCAAGGAAGACGUUCGAUCCCCAAUCUAUAUCAUGGUACUUAGCCAAUGGGGUUGGUUGGUUGUAUGACUAAGUAACGAUAAAGAUUGGUCCAUCAAUAUAUGAUCGGAUGCGAAUCGAUGUACGAAUUAAUAAAGCAACAAAUGGAUUAACAAAGAGGAUCAAUAGACGGAUCGAAGAAGAAACAAAUUCGCAUGUUGGCCAAGGUAUGUAAACCAAGGCCUGCAGAUUUGGUUAACCGAACCAAACCGGGCCGGUUAAUUUUGGUUUACGGUUUAUUUUGGUUAUUGAAAUGUACAUGCUGAAAUUAACCGAAUAAAUAAUCGGUUUGAAUCUCAGUUUUUUCGGUUAAUCAAAUCCUACCGAAAAUAACCAAAAUUUUGGAUUUCCUUGGUUAAAAUUGGUUAAUUUGGUUUUGUUUCGAUAAAUGGGCUUGCGAAAAAGAAGAAUGUUUGGCCUGGACAAAGCCCAGUAAAGUUUAGAAAAAAACAAAUGAAGCUUGACGAAGACCUAAAACAGACGAAGCUUGACGGCGGCCGAUACAAAAUCAGAUGAAGCUUGACGGUGGUUGAUACGAAUAGCAGAUCUGACAAAAGAAGAGGAAGAAGAAGAAGAUCUCGGUUAUGAGAACUGAACCGAAAAUGUCGGUUAACCCAACAAAAUUUACAAAGCUUCCGAUUGGUUCAGCUCUCCUAACCGAAACUAAACCGAAACCAAAAAUCUCGGUUCAGAACGGUUCGGAGUUCUCGGCCCGGUCAUUUCUCGCAGGUCUAUGUAAAAGAAUCUAAGUUAUUAGUUAAGCUAGACGUUGGGAAUUGACCAUUGGACAAGGAUAAAAAAUAUGUAAUCGUUAGACUUAUAUUGGUUAAGCGAACAAUUUGCAUAA